ensembl:rRNA 5S_rRNA 5S ribosomal RNA
GUCUACGGCCAUACCACCCUGAACGCGCCCGAUCCCGUCUGAUCUCGGAAGCUAAGCAGGGUCGGGCCUGGUUAGUACUUGGAUGGGAAGAAGAGGGGAAUUCAGACCUAGAGA